rnacentral:lncRNA from 1 species
AUGGCUUCUAGACAGCAGGGUUCGUCUGUCGGGAUUCAGGCAAACAGUGCUCCGAUCUCCUCACAUCCCCUGGGGCCUCAUGGCAGGGUCCCCCAGGGGCAGCCUAAGCUGCCUCUCCCCCCAGUUUGCUUGAUGUUCUUCCGGGGCCGUGCAGGUGAGCAGCUGGGAGGUGGGCAAAGCUGGCUCCGUGUUGGGAGCGGAGAGGUAGCGGGGUGGGGCCGGGAGGGCGCGUUGGUUUGUUUGUUUCAGUGGGUGGGUGCGGCCCCCGCCACGUCCCCACUGGGGCCUGGGAGACGUAAACAAGGAGGUGGGCGUCGGAAGAGAGAGGGGCAUCGAAGGGGAGGCAGGUCCUGGCGGCGGGGUGGUCCCGGCGGCUGCCCGCGCUUUCGUCUCGUCGCAGCUUUGAGCCUGGGGCUGGGGUUUGCCGAGGGGGAAAGGGCUGCUCGCACUCAGUAUCGGGGCGAGUUUUCCUUUGUUACUCGGAAGGCUGGACACUUGGGUGGAGCGUGGUGGUGUGAGUGUGGACACGGAGCAAUGCAAGGGGGCGUGAGGGGCGGCGGGGCGGUGGGCAGCAGGAGGGGGCCGCCGAGGAGGGGCAGGGCUUCCAGCACCCGGGGCUUCAGGAAGCUCUUGCAUCUCUUGGGUUCAUCCGUUUUGGCGAUCGAUCCAAUCCCAUCUUCUUUGCAUGGCUCCUGGGUCGCCAUCCCCUUCUCUCCCCAGCGGGGCUGCCCCUUUUUGUCUCCCUGGGUUUCACGCAGAGUUUGGGUGAGCAGCCUGGGUCUUGCUCUUACAAGUGGUGGCUGGCGGAGAAGGCGCCCGAGGGUGAGAGCGGCAGGCAGCCAGGCUGGACGCGUGGGGCCUGGGGAGGCCCCUGCAGCCAGCCUUCAGGCCUGCCCAGGCUCCUGCCAGACCUGCACCUUGUGUGGUCUUCGGAGAGUGCAUGUCCAGGGGAAGACGUUCCUCCUGGCUUCCAGUGGCUGCUGGGCUGACCGAGGAUCUGUUUCAUGCAGGCAUCCGGUGCACUGUUUAAGUGUCUGCUAUGUGAUUGCUGCCGGGGACAUGACCGUCAGGAGGGAAGCACAGCCCUUGGUCUGA